rnacentral:tRNA from 1 species
GCCGAGGUGGUGGAAUGGCAGACACGUAGGUUUCAAAAACCUAUGGGGCUUUAAACCCCAUGGAGGUUCGACUCCUCUCCUCGGCA